GAUGAACGCUGGCGGCGUGCCUAAUACAUGCAAGUCGAGCGAACGGACGAGGAGCUUGCUCCUCUGAUGUUAGCGGCGGACGGGUGAGUAACACGUGGAUAACCUACCUAUAAGACUGGGAUAACUUCGGGAAACCGGAGCUAAUACCGGAUAAUAUUUUGAACCGCAUGGUUCAAUAGUGAAAGACGGUCUUGCUGUCACUUAUAGAUGGAUCCGCGCUGCAUUAGCUAGUUGGUAAGGUAACGGCUUACCAAGGCAACGAUGCGUAGCCGACCUGAGAGGGUGAUCGGCCACACUGGAACUGAGACACGGUCCAGACUCCUACGGGAGGCAGCAGUAGGGAAUCUUCCGCAAUGGGCGAAAGCCUGACGGAGCAACGCCGCGUGAGUGAUGAAGGUCUUCGGAUCGUAAAACUCUGUUAUUAGGGAAGAACAUAUGUGUAAGUAACUGUGCACGUCUUGACGGUACCUAAUCAGAAAGCCACGGCUAACUACGUG
rnacentral:rRNA from 1 species